UGGGGAAUUUUGGACAAUGGGCGCAAGCCUGAUCCAGCCAUUCCGCGUGAGUGAAGAAGGCCUUCGGGUUGUAAAGCUCUUUCGGCAGGAACGAAACGGUUUGGGCUAAUACCCUGAGCUAAUGACGGUACCUGAAGAAGAAGCACCGGCUAACUACGUGCCAGCAGCCGCGGUAAUACGUAGGGUGCGAGCGUUAAUCGGAAUUACUGGGCGUAAAGCGUGCGCAGGCGGUUUUGUAAGACAGAUGUGAAAUCCCCGGGCUCAACCUGGGAACUGCGUUUGUGACUGCAAGACUCGAGUGUGGCAGAGGGGGGUGGAAUUCCACGUGUAGCAGUGAAAUGCGUAGAGAUGUGGAGGAACACCGAUGGCGAAGGCAGCCCCCUGGGUCAACACUGACGCUCAUGCACGAAAGCGUGGGUAGCAAACAGGAUUAGAUACCCUGGUAGUCCACGCCCUAAACGAUGCGAACUAGGUGUUGGGGAAGGAGACUUCCUUAGUACCGCAGCUAACGCGUAAGUUCGCCGCCUGGGAGUACGGUCGCNAGAUUAAAACUCAAAGGGGAUUUU
rnacentral:rRNA from 1 species